GUAACGGCGAGUGAAGCGGUAACAGCUCAAAUUUGAAAUCUGGCUCCUCGGGGCCCGAAUUGUAAUUUGUAGAAGAUGCUUUGGGUCUGGGCCUGGCCUAAGUUCCUUGGAACAGGACGUCGUAGAGGGUGAGAAUCCCGUAUGCGGCUGGCGCCCGUGCCCGUGUAAAGCUCUUUCAACGAGUCGAGUUGUUUGGGAAUGCAGCUCUAAAUGGGUGGUAAAUUUCAUCUAAAGCUAAAUAUUGGCCAGAGACCGAUAGCGCACAAGUAGAGUGAUCGAAAGAUGAAAAGCACUUUGGAAAGAGAGUUAAACAGUACGUGAAAUUGUUGAAAGGGAAGCGCUGGCAACCAGACUUGGGCGCUGUUGAUCCGCUAGGGUUCUCUCUAGGGCACUCGGCAGUGCGCAGGCCAGCAUCGGUUUGGGGGGUUGGAGAAUGGCUGGUGGAAUGUGGCUGUCUUUGGGCAGUGUUAUAGCCACCGGUGGCAUGCAGCCUCCCCGGACCGAGGACCGCGCUUCGGCUAGGAUGCUGGCGUAAUGGUUGUCAGCGACCCGUCUUGAAACACGGACCAAGGAGUCUAACAUCUAUGCGAGUGUUUGGGUGUUAAACCCAUACGCGGAAUGAAAGUGAACGUAGGUGAGAACCCGCAAGGGUGCAUCAUCGACCGAUCCUGAUGUCUUCGGAUGGAUUUGAGUAAGAGCAUAGCUGUUGGGACCCGAAAGAUGGUGAACUAUGCCUGAAUAGGGUGAAGCCAGAGGAAACUCUGGUGGAGGCUCGCAGCGGUUCUGACGUGC
rnacentral:rRNA from 1 species